AGCCUACGGGACGCAGCAGUGGGGAAUAUUGCACAAUGGGGGAAGCCCUGAUGCAGCGACGCCGCGUGAAGGACGAAGUAUUUCGGUACGUAAACUUCUAUCAGCAGGGAAGAAAAUGACGGUACCUGACCAAGAAGCCCCGGCUAACUACGUGCCAGCAGCCGCGGUAAUACGUAGGGGGCAAGCGUUAUCCGGAUUUACUGGGUGUAAAGGGAGCGUAGACGGCCGUGCAAGUCUGAUGUGAGAACCCGGGGCUCAACCCCGGGACUGCAUUGGAAACUGCAUGGCUGGAGUGUCGGAGAGGC
rnacentral:rRNA from 1 species